UACGGAGGGUGCAAGCGUUAAUCGGAAUUACUGGGCGUAAAGCGUGCGUAGGCGGUUCGUUAAGUCUGUUGUGAAAGCCCCGGGCUCAGCCUGGGAAUGGCAAUGGAUACUGGCGAGCUAGAGUGUGUCAGAGGAUGGUGGAAUCCGGUGUAGCGGUGAAAUGCGUAGAGAUCGGGAGGAACAUCAGUGGCGAAGGCGGCCAUCUGGGGACAACACUGACGCUGAGGCACGAAAGCGUGGGGAGCAAACAGG
rnacentral:rRNA from 1 species